UGUGCCAGCAGCCGCGGUAAUACGUAGGUGGCAAGCGUUGUCCGGAAUUAUUGGGCGUAAAGCGCGCGCAGGCGGUUCCUUAAGUCUGAUGUGAAAGCCCACGGCUCAACCGUGGAGGGUCAUUGGAAACUGGGGAACUUGAGUGCAGAAGAGGAGAGCGGAAUUCCACGUGUAGCGGUGAAAUGCGUAGAGAUGUGGAGGAACACCAGUGGCGAAGGCGGCUCUCUGGUCUGUAACUGACGCUGAGGCGCGAAAGCGUGGGGAGCGAACAGGAUUAGAUACCCUGGUAGUCCACGCCGUAAACGAUGAGUGCUAAGUGUUAGAGGGUUUCCGCCCUUUAGUGCUGCAGCAAACGCAUUAAGCACUCCGCCUGGGGAGUACGGUCGCAAGACUGAAACUCAAAUGAAUUGACGGG
rnacentral:rRNA from 1 species